rnacentral:tRNA from 1 species
GCCCGGUUAGCUCAGUUGGUAGAGCAUCAGGCUUUUACUCUGAGGGCCAUGGGUUCGAGUCCCAUCUAGGGCU